UAAGGAAUAUUGGUCAAUGGGCGCAAGCCUGAACCAGCCAUGCCGCGUGCAGGAAGACGGCCCUACGGGUUGUAAACUGCUUUUGCAGGGGAAUAAACCCCCGGUCGUGACCGGGGUUGAAUGUACUCUGAGAAUAAGGAUCGGCUAACUCCGUGCCAGCAGCCGCGGUAAUACGGAGGAUCCAAGCGUUAUCCGGAUUUAUUGGGUUUAAAGGGUGCGUAGGCGGCCUAUUAAGUCAGGGGUGAAAGACGGUAGCUUAACUAUCGCAGUGCCUUUGAUACUGAUGGGCUUGAAUACACUAGAGGUAGGCGGAAUGUGACAAGUAGCGGUGAAAUGCAUAGAUAUGUCACAGAACACCAAUUGCGAAGGCAGCUUACUAUGGUGUGAUUGACGCUGAGGCACGAAAGCGUGGGGAUCAAACAG
rnacentral:rRNA from 1 species